rnacentral:tRNA from 1 species
GGGGAUAUAGCUCAACCGGCAGAGCGUCUGCCUUGCACGCAGAAGGUUACCGGUUCGACUCCGGUUAUCUCCA